rnacentral:rRNA from 1 species
CCCUUAGAUGUUCGGGGCCGCACGCGCGCUACACUGAAUGGAUCAACGUGCCUUUCCCGAGGCUGAAAAGUCGAGGUAAUCCGUUGAACCCCAUUCGUGACGGGGAUAGGAGCUUGCAAUUAUUCUCCUUGAACGAGGAAUUCCCAGUAAGCGCGAGUCAUCAGCUCGCGUUGAUUACGUCCCUGCCCUUUGUACACACCGCCCGUCGCUCCUACCGAUUGAGCAAUCCGGUGAAUACUUCGGACCGUUUGCAUAGGUGGUUCGCCACCUAUACGAAUGGAAAGUCGAGUGAACCUUAUUGCUUAGAGGAAGGAGAAGUCGUAACA